rnacentral:misc_RNA from 1 species
GAUGAAGAACGCAGCGAAAUGCGAUAAGUAAUGUGAAUUGCAGAAUUCAGUGAAUCAUCGAAUCUUUGAACGCACCUUGCGCUCCUUGGUAUUCCGAGGAGCAUGCCUGUUUGAGUGUCAUGAAACCCUCAAACCCAAGUUUUGGAUUUCGAUCCAUGCUUGAGUUUGGAUUUGGAUGUUUGUCGGUGAUGAACCGACUCAUCUUAAAAGUAUUAGCUUGGAUCUGUCUAUAUGACUGGUUUGACUUGGCAUAAUAAGUAUUUUGCUGAGGACAUCUUCGGAUGGCCAGGACCUAGACUACUGUCUGCUAACUAAACCAUCACUUUAAGUGCAUCUUUGGAUGUUACUCAUUGUGUAACUUUGACAUCUGGCCUCAAAUCAAGUAGGACUACCCGCUGAACUUAAGCAUAUCAAUAAGCGGAGGA